CCUUCAACACGGUGUCGUCGUCGGAGCCCUGCCCGUCGCAUCCGUCCAGCACAGUUCUACACAGCAACACCACCUGGAUUAGGACUAUAAAGGGGAGGUACGUUAGAAUGUGAUUGUACCGUCAUCAGGCGCCGCGGCGAGCGUCUUGUCUUGGAGCAUCGCGGUGAGGACAGUCCGAGGCGGGGGCUCCAGGGCGCUCAGCGCUGCGCACGCACCCAGACCCUCGAACACCACCUGCUGCUGUACACGAAAACACAUUCACGUUGAAAAUUUUACACGACACCCUUUUUAACACAACGCUAAGUUAACAGGUACCUGAAGCGGUUGCGCCGCUGCCUUGUCCAUCGCCGCCCGCAGCGCGAGCCGCAGCGCCGCGGGGGCGGCGUCCCCGGAGCCCGGGCGGCGCAGCGCCAGCGACACCAACGCCGUAUACGACACACGCACCGCCGGAGUCGCGCUCUUGGCUGCCAUACCUUUCUGUGGAGCGAUUUGAUCGUAAGCUCCCGGUAGUGGUGACUAUUUGUUGUCGACUAGUCUUCAACACGCAUUACCUUGUAUAUCUGAUAUACUUUGUCGAGCUCCACGACGUCCAGAGUCUCCAGCCAACUCUGCAGCACCUCCAGGGCCACGCACAGUGUCUUCUCGUGCGUCUCGCUGUCCAGCACGCGGCUGGUGUGACUCACCACCUCCUCGAACAGUCCUGCCCGCUCCGAGGGACUCACAGCCAGCGACCGCAGCACUCCGACACCCUGACGUUUAGAAUGUAUGAGAUCGCUGUCAUGUGUCUUAAAAUCGUUCAUUAGCUCUACUACACGUGGAGGUGAGUGUACGAAGCUACUGACAUUCAAGACGGCCAUUUUGUCCUCGCUGGAGGUGAGCUUCCCGUUAGCUCCGUUGUAGUGUGUGAAGGCGUGUUGCAGCAGAGCGCGCGCCGCCUCCUUGCCCGACACACGCCGCACCAGCGACGCCAGGGCCCCGCUGGCCGCCGCACGCGCCCAAGUAUCGCGUGAAUGCAGAUUUACUAUUUCCAAAGAAAGGAUGACAAUUUUUAUUAUUAUAAUAUAACGGAUGAUUGUUUUUCUUUAAAUAGUACCGUUAAGCGAGCCAACCAUGUCACCACAAUAUAAUAGGUUGCUCUAAAAAAGUCCUGAGCGAUUUGAAUCCUCAAGGCUUACCUCGAAGCAUUAAAGGCUCCAUUUAAAUAUUAAAUAUUUUUGAUUGAUA